AAAAUCACCUUUGUGAGGGUUUGGUAGAAAAUGCGGGUUGAUUUUUUUCUCCUCUUGAUCUCGCAAAAAAUCUACCCGCAACCCGCAUUUUCUACCAAACCCUCACAAAGGUGAUUUUCACUCUC